AUUGAACGCUGGCGGCAGGCUUAACACAUGCAAGUCGAGCGGAGAUGAGGUGCUUGCACCUUAUCUUAGCGGCGGACGGGUGAGUAAUGCUUAGGAAUCUGCCUAUUAGUGGGGGACAACAUUCCGAAAGGAAUGCUAAUACCGCAUACGUCCUACGGGAGAAAGCAGGGGAUCUUCGGACCUUGCGCUAAUAGAUGAGCCUAGGUCGGAUUAGCUAGUUGGUGGGGUAAAGGCCUACCAAGGCGACGAUCUGUAGCGGGUCUGAGAGGAUGAUCCGCCACACUGGACUGGGACACGGCCCAGACUCCUACGGGAGGCAUCAGUGGGGAAUAUUGGACAAUGGGGGGAACCCUGAUCCAGCCAUGCCGCGUGUGUGAAGAAGGCCUUAUGGUUGUAAAGCACUUUAAGCGAGGAGGAGGCUACUGAGACUAAUACUCUUGGAUAGUGGACGUUACUCGCAGAAUAAGCACCGGCUAACUCUGUGCCAGCCGCCGCCGUAACAC
rnacentral:rRNA from 1 species